rnacentral:rRNA from 1 species
UACGUAGGGUGCAAGCGUUGUCCGGAAUUAUUGGGCGUAAAGAGCUCGUAGGCGGUUUGUCGCGUCUGCUGUGAAAACUCGGGGCUUAACUCCGGGCCUGCAGUGGGUACGGGCAGACUAGAGUGCGGUAGGGGAGACUGGAAUUCCUGGUGUAGCGGUGAAAUGCGUAGAUAUCGGGAGGAAUACCUAUGGCGAAGGCAGGUUACUGGGCCAUCACUGACGCUGAGCUGCGAAAGCUAGGGGAGCGAACAGG